CCCAACAGUAUCAUUUGGUUUGUAGACCAUAUUGUUAGUCAAAAUGAAAAUAAUUGCCCUUUUAACAAUUUUUUGUGUCUUAAUAGCCAUAGCAAAUUCCUAUCCGGUUCGUAUCGAAGACAAUGAAGAUGAUUCGGUAGAUCUUGAUGGGCUGGUGGAAGAAAGAAAAUCACCAGAGAGAGUUGUUAGAAGUAUUUGUGAAACUUAUAUCUGCAGAAAAUAUUGCGCAAAGAGAGGAAAACCAUUAGAACGCUGUGUCUUACCUAGAUGCGUCUGCGAAUAACAGAAAGGUUGCAUAUUCGAAGAGAUACAUUCAUUGUGAAUGUAUUCAAAAUAUAAUUUUUAUGUUCUGUAUGUGUAAUCAUAUUUUUUUUGAGUAAAGGUUUAUUUCAUGUA